rnacentral:lncRNA from 1 species
CAGCCGUGUCAAUACUGCCCCCUAGCACUAACAGGUUAUACCCCACCCUCUUCGACAUUUAUCAAAUCAAUCAUUUGUCACAUGUGCCGAAAAACAACAGGUAUUCACCUCCAGUGAAAUGCUCACUUACAAGCCCUUAACCAACAAUACAGUUAAGAAAAAUACCUUAAAAAAAGACUAAUAAAAUAAAACAAAACAAGUCAUUAAAGGGAAGCAGUAAAAUAACAAUAGCGUGACUAUAUACAGAGGGUACCAGUACAGAGUCAAUGUGGAGGCUAUAUACAGGGGGUACCGGUACAGAGUCAAUGUGGAGGCUAUAUACAGGGGGUACCAGCACAGAGUCAAUGUGGAGGCUAUAUACAGGGGGUACCGGUACAGAGUCAAUGUGGAGGCUAUAUACAGGGGGGGGUACCGGUACAGAGUCAAUGUGGAGGCUAUAUACAGGGGGGGUACCGGUACAGAGUCAAUGUGGAGGCUAUAUACAGGGGGUACCGGUACAGAGUCAAUGUGGAGGCUAUAUACAGGGGGUACCAGCACAGAGUCAAUGUGCGGGGGCACCCGUUACUCGAGGUAAUUGAGGUAAUAUGUACAUGUAGGUAGAGUUAUGAAAGUGACAAUGCAUAGAUAAUAACAGAGCAGCAGCAGCAGUAUAAGGAAGGGGGGGGGGGACAAUGCAAAUAGUCUGGGUAGCCAUUUAUUUACGUUUUCCAAACUCUCUCAAGAAGAAACAGUUUUAUUAGAAUCCUAUGUCCCCACACCACAGAUCUAGAAUCAUUGUAAUCCUAUGUACCACACCACAGAUCUAGAAUCAUUGUAAUCCUAUGUACCACACCACAGAUCAAGAAUCAUUGUAAUCCUAUGUACCACACCACAGAUCAAGAAUCAUUGUAAUCCUAUGUACCACACCACAGAUCUAGAAUCAGAUCAAGAAUCAUUGUAAUCCUAUGUACCACACCACAGAUCUAGAAUCAUUGUAAUCCUAUGUACCACACCACAGAACUAGAAUCAUUGUUACCAUGGUAAUCCUCAGUGGGUCUAGGUAAUGGAGAGAGUGACAUCAGAGUGACAUCAGAUGGUCUGAGUCCAGGGAGAUACUGCACUAUGGAAGAUAGCUGGAUCAGUCCUUACCAGAGCUGGCCACUGGAUGUGUCUGUCUUUAGUCCCCUGGGUAUUUUCCCCCACCAGGGAGCUCUCCCUCCUCUUCGCCCGCACCAGCUGCUGCUCCAGCAGGGAGCUCUCUCUCCUCUUGGCCCACACCAGCUGCUGCUCCAGCAGGAACACCUGGAAGUCCUCGUACACUUUCACCCACUCGCGUUUCUCCCACUCCAGGUCAUCAAACUCCACGUACACCUGGGACAAGAGAAGAGAGGGGGUGAGGACAUGGGUAUACAUAGAGAGGGUGUGUGUGUAUAGAGAGGUAUAACAACCCAUUCUGCAGUUUGUUUCAUUGUUGUUUCACAUGACCUUUCCCACCACGGAGGAGAGGUCAGUAGAUUGACAGAGUUUGAGAUAGUGUUUACAUUUGCAUACUGAGAAGAGGAUACAAUCAACUUUAUAAACGUUAUAAACGUCAACUCCAGCUUUCAAUACAACUAGAGAUAUUACUGUUCUGACCCUAGGAUUCAGCCAUUCCCACGGGGGACCAGUACGGAGAAAAACAUUUAUAAAAUGUAUGCAUUCACUACUGUAAGUCGCUCUGGAUAAGAGCGUCUGCUAAAUUACUUAAAUGUUAAAAUGUUAAAUGAGACACAGCUUUCAAUACAACUAGAGAUAUUACUGUUCUGACCCUCUGAGACAGACAGCUUUCAAUACAACUAUAGAUAUUACUGUUCUGACCCUCUGAGACAGACAGCUUUCAAUACAACUAGAGAUAUUACUGUUCUGACCCUCUGAGACAGACAGCUUUCAAUACAACUAGAGAUAUUACUGUUCUGACCCUCUGAGACAGACAGCUUUCAAUACAACUACUAGAUAUUACUGUUCUGACCCUCUGAAACAGACAGCUUUCAAUAGAACUACUAGAUAUUACUGAAGGGAAACUUCAGGAAUUUGCCAAUGACUGUGUCAGUGGAUAAAGGGCCUCGUCUGACUCUGGGUCAGUGGAUAAAGGGCCUCGUCUGACUCUGGGUCAGUGGAUAAAGGGCCUCGUCUGACUCUGGGUCAGUGGAUAAAGGGCCUCGUCUGACUCUGGGUCAGUAGAUAAAGGGCCUCGUCUGACUCUGGGUCAGUGGAUAAAGGGCCUCGUCUGACUCUGGGUCAGUGGAUAAAGGGCCUCGUCUGACUCUGGGUCAGUG